AAUGCGCAGCUACAGCUGGUUGAAGGGGACCAAAUCCAUUGAACAGUUGAUUUGGUUCCAUUUUACCAGCUUCAGCAAAGCAUUUGG
rnacentral:pre_miRNA from 28 species